rnacentral:rRNA from 1 species
UGUCCGGAAUUACUGGGCGUAAAGAGCUCGUAGGUGGUUUGUCGCGUUGUUCGUGAAAACUCACAGCUUAACUGUGGGCGUGCGGGCGAUACGGGCAGACUAGAGUACUGCAGGGGAGACUGGAAUUCCUGGUGUAGCGGUGGAAUGCGCAGAUAUCAGGAGGAACACCGGUGGCGAAGGCGGGUCUCUGGGCAGUAACUGACGCUGAGGAGCGAAAGCGUGGGGAGCGAACAGGAUUAGAUACCCUGGUAGUCCACCCCGUAAACGGUGGGUACUAGGUGUGGGUUCCUUCCUUGGGAUCCGUGCCGUAGCUAACGCAUUAAGUACCCCGCCUGGGGAGUACGGCCGCAAGGCUAAAACUCAAAGGAAUUGGCGGGGGCCCGCACAAGCGGCGGAGCAUGUGGAUUAAUUCGAUGCAACGCGAAGAACCUUACCUGGGUUUGACAUGCACAGGACGCCGGCAGAGAUGUCGGUUCCCUUGUGGCCUGUGUGCAGGUGGUGCAUGGCUGUCGUCAGCUCGUGUCGUGAGAUGUUGGGUUAAGUCCCGCAACGAGCGCAACCCUUGUCCUAUGUUGCCAGCGGGUUAUGCCGGGGACUCGUAGGAGACUGCCGGGGUCAACUCGGAGGAAGGUGGGGAUGACGUCAAGUCAUCAUGCCCCUUAUGUCCAGGGCUUCACACAUGCUACAAUGGCCGGUACAAAGGGCUGCGAUGCCGUGAGGUGGAGCGAAUCCUUUCAAAGCCGGUCUCAGUUCGGAUCGGGGUCUGCAACUCGACCCCGUGAAGUCGGAGUCGCUAGUAA